ensembl:lncRNA
AUGGAACUUCUAAUGGGCCUAAUUUAUAAAGCAAGCUUUAUCACAGGAAUGCACAAAUGUACCGGAAACCACAGUACAUCAGAGUACUGCACAGGGAUCACGUGUGUACACACAGAGUACAUCAGAGUACUGCACAGGGAUCACGUGUGUACACACAGAGUACAUCAGAGUACUGCACAGGGAUCACGUGUGUACACAGAGUACAUCAGAGUACUGCACAGGGAUGCACGUGUGUACACAGAGUACAUCAGAGUACUGCACAGGGAUGCACGUGUGUACACACAGAGUACAUCAGAGUACUGCACAGGGAUCACGUGUGCACACAGAGUACAUCAGAGUACUGCACAGGGAUCACGCAUGCACAGAGUACAUCAGAGUACCUGGCCCAGCUCUGGCCAUGUCAGCCAUUUGGGGAGUGAACCAAAGGGUACAAAGUCUGUCUCUCUGACUCUCCCUCUUUCUAAUUCUGCUUUUCAAAUAAAUACAUAAAUCUUAAAGAGAUAAAUGCAACAUUACUCCAGGAAACCUGCUAGUGAAAGACACACGUGAAAUCCCACUGCAUGAACUCACUCAACGCCAGCAGCGAGGAGAGUCAGGGUCUCUGCAGACGGCAACGGUCAGCCCCUGCUGCUCACCUCCAGGCGCAAGAGGGUGAAGGGCUGGCCACGCCCAGCAAGCAAGCGGACGCGAGACCCUCACCACCACUCCCACUCCAGCCCAGGUCCUCUGACGGGGGCUGCACCCGGGGCGGGCCGUGAGGGAGGCCCACGCAGCGCAUGAGAUGCUGUGCAGGACCAGCACCGCAGUCUGCGAUGGGGAGACCACAAAUGCGGCACAGAUCACGCUGGCCACAGGAGCAGGUCACCUGCGGCAAAGACGAACCCGAACAGGGCCUCAGACGUCUGCUGUGACAAGCAAGGAGCCCGCAUAUCCAAGUGUGCUGAGACUACCUAUGCACACAGGUGUGUGGGCCACAGGAGCAGGUCACCUGCGGCAAAGACGAACCCGAACAGGGCCUCAGACGUCUGCUGUGACAAGCAAGGAGCCCGCAUAUCCAAGUGUGCUGAGACUACCUAUGCACACAGGCGUGUGGCCUGAACAAAACUGAAGCCAGGCCUCGGGCCAGCACUGGGCCACAUUUCCUGACGGACCAGUCCUUGAGACUCCAAAACACAGCAAUUUCAUGAAGGUAAUAAAAAGUAAUUUUUUUAGAAACA